GCGCGCCUUCGGGUGAGCGGCGGACGGGUUAGUACGCGUGGGAACGUGCCCUUCUCUACGGAAUAGCCUCUGGAAACGGAGAGUAAUACCGUAUACGCCCUUUGGGGGAAAGAUAGAUCGGAGAAGGAUCGGCCCGCGUUAGAUUAGGUAGUUGGUGGGGUAACGGCCUACCAAGCCUACGAUCUAUAGCUGGUUUUAAAGGAUGAUCAGCAACACUGGGACUGAGACACGGCCCAGACUCCUACGGGAGGCAGCAGUGGGGAAUCUUAGACAAUGGGGGCAACCCUGAUCUAGCCAUGCCGCGUGAGUGAUGAAGGCCUUAGGGUCGUAAAGCUCUUUUCGCCUGUGAUGAUAAUGACAG
rnacentral:rRNA from 1 species